GAUGAAGAAACGCAGCGAAAUGCGAUACGUAAUGUGAAUUGCAAAUUCAGUGAAUCAUCGAGUCUUUGAACGCACAUUGCGCCCCCUGGUAUUCCGGGGGGCAUGCCUGUCCGAGCGUCAUUGCUGCCCUCAAGCACGGCUUGUGUGUUGGGCCCCGUCCUCCGAUCCCGGGGGACGGGCCCGAAAGGCAGCGGCGGCACCGCGUCCGGUCCUCGAGCGUAUGGGGCUUUGUCACCCGCUCUGUAGGCCCGGCCGGCGCUUGCCGAUCAACCCAAAUUUUUAUCCAGGUUGACCUCGGAUCAGGUAGGGAUACCCGCUGAACUUAAGCAUAUCAAUAAGCGGAGGA
rnacentral:misc_RNA from 1 species